ACUAUCUCAAUUACUUUGUUAUUAUUUUGUAUUUUUAAUAAAAUUUUCAAUGCUCUCUAUUUUAAUUUUUUUUUUCUUUUAUACUUUUUUCUAAUUAUCAAAUUAUCAUACAAUUUUUAAAAAAAGGGCAAGCAAUAGAACUAAAAACUUUAAUUCCUCCAAAUUCCAAGAGGAUAUAUAGGUAAAAUUAAGUUCAUGCACCUAUUUUUAUUUUUUUUUUAAAUAUUAAUUUCAUCUCUAAUUUUUUAAUCAAGUCCAAGUCUUUUCUUAUUAACUUUUUCUUAAAGAUAAAUUAAUUUCAUUCUCUUUUAUCUUAUUUUAUUUUGAUUGAAAGA
rnacentral:misc_RNA from 1 species